rnacentral:rRNA from 1 species
UGGGGAAUUUUGGACAAUGGGGGAAACCCUGAUCCAGCCAUCCCGCGUGUGCGAUGAAGGCCUUCGGGUUGUAAAGCACUUUUGGCAGGAAAGAAACGUCGCGGGUUAAUACCCCGCGAAACUGACGGUACCUGCAGAAUAAGCACCGGCUAACUACGUGCCAGCAGCCGCGGUAAUACGUAGGGUGCAAGCGUUAAUCGGAAUUACUGGGCGUAAAGCGUGCGCAGGCGGUUCGGAAAGAAAGAUGUGAAAUCCCAGAGCUUAACUUUGGAACUGCAUUUUUAACUACCGGGCUAGAGUGUGUCAGAGGGAGGUGGAAUUCCGCGUGUAGCAGUGAAAUGCGUAGAUAUGCGGAGGAACACCGAUGGCGAAGGCAGCCUCCUGGGAUAACACUGACGCUCAUGCACGAAAGCGUGGGGAGCAAACAGGAUUAGAUCACCGUGGUCAGUCCACCGCCUAAACGAUGUCAACUCAGCCUAGUU